rnacentral:rRNA from 1 species
ACCGGAGGUGUACCUGAC